GACGAACGCUGGCGGCGUGCCUAAUACAUGCAAGUAGGACGCAGUUGCGAACGGGUGAGUAACGCGUAGGUAAGUGCCUAUUAGAGGGGGAUAACUAUUGGAAACGAUAGCUAAUACCGCAUACUAGGAGAUGGACCUGCGUUGUAUUAGCUAGUAGGUAGGGCAAUGGCCUACCUAGGGAACGAUACAUAGCCGAGCUUGGCGGGUGAUCGGGCACACUGGGACUGAGACACGGCCCAGACUCCGUCGGGAGGCAGCAGUAGGGAAUCUUCGGCAAUGGGGGGAACCCUGACCGAGCAACUCCGCGUGAGUGAAGAAGGUUUUCGGAUCGUAAAGCUCUGUUGUUAAGGAAGCGUUACUUAACCAGAAAGGGACGGCUAACUACGUGCCAGCAGCCGCGGUAAUUC
rnacentral:rRNA from 1 species